GCAAAGAACAAGAACAAAGUGUAAAGAUAAAGAACAAAAGAAUUUACAUAAUCUGCAUUUAUUUAAUGUUGAGCAUAUUCCUUGCUUAUUGUUCAGGCAUAUUAGCAUCAUGUUGUAGAUUGGUUACCAUAUUUCAGCUUAUCCUUUCUAUUAUGCCUGAGUUAGUCCUAGUGGGAAAGUCGGUGAUGUUGAGGCCGAACCCACUGGGAACUUUGUUGUAGUUCUCACCC
rnacentral:lncRNA from 1 species